rnacentral:rRNA from 1 species
CUCGUAGGCGGCCAACUAAGUCAGACGUGAAAUCCCUCGGCUUAACCGGGGAAUUGCGUCUGAUACUGGAUGGCUCGAGUUUGGGAGAGGGAUGCGGAAUUCCAGGUGUAGCGGUGAAAUGCGUAGAUAUCUGGAGGAACACCGGAGGCGAAGGCGGCAUCCUGGACCAACACUGACGCUGAGUGAGCGAAAGCCAGGGGAGCAAACG